CUUUUUAGGGCUGCACCCUUGGCAUAUGGAGAUUCCCAGGGUAGGGGUCUAAUUGGAGCUGUUGCUGCCGGCCUAUGCCGGAGCCACAGCAAUGCCAGAUCCAAGCCGCGUCUGUGACCUACACCACAGCUCACGGCAAUGCAGGAUCCUUAGUCCACUGAGUGAGGCCAGGGAUCGAACUCGCAACCUCAUGGUUCCUAGUUGGGUUCGUUUCUGCUGCACCAUGAUAGGAACUCAGUUUUCUGUACUUUGGAAACACCUCAUUAUUAAAAUAAAAGAAGGAAAAAAUGAUAGACUCAAUUUUCAGGAAGAAGGGAUUGCAUAUUUGCAUCCUUGCAUUAGAUACUUAGGAAUAUUUAAAUAAAUUUUUAAUCAAAAUAUUUAUCUAUACAAGUCUAUUUAUAGAUGAAGGAUAUUAUAGAUUCAGCCCUGUUCAAGAGUUAUAUAAGUCAGAUAUAAACUGGUGUUCCAUGGGGUCCUGCUACUGCAGAGCUGGAUUCAUUAAAACCCAAGCCUAAUCCCAGAAGUCUUGGGAAAUAAUGAAGCCUCUGGGGUGGAAGUGGCUGCUGCCAUUUGGCUCUCAAGCUCUGGAAAUAUUCUUGUCUUUGACAGGAGAGAUAGUACAGUUGUAUGUGAUAUCCAGAAAAGGGCUCUGACCCAUGACUGGGCUUGCAGAGUUUGGUGUAGAUUUCUCUCUUCCCGGUAGGAUGUAGCUGAGGCUCAUCCUCUCUCCCUGAUGAGCAAUCGGAUUCUUCACUCCUCUUUGCAGUGAACUCUGUGGACUCUAUGAUAUUAAUUCCCAAACCUAGGAUCCAAGACCUUAGCCUAUUUCUUCUCUCUCAUCUGUGUGAAUAUAUUUUAUAUGAUAUACUCUCUAACUCAUGACUGUGUUUUUUUCUCAAUAAGGUGAACUUGCUAUAUAAAUUCUACUUUCUCACUUGGAAUUCUGUCAUCCACCACCAAGUUCUGUUUUUAGUUACUCUAUUUAUAGCUUAGAAUCAAAAACAUGUUCUCUCUCUAAUUUCACUGUUGUUUGAAUUCAAAUGUUUUUCAUCUGAUUCCACCAUUCAUUAGUUUCCCCAGGGACAUAAGUAAAUCAGUUAUACAGCUAAGUUAUUAAAAAAUAGUUAUUACUAGCUCAAGUACUUAAUUGUAUUCACAUUGAGGGGAACGUCAAUCUCUGGAUCAUUUAUCUUAGAUUUUUGGAAUUUCUUUCCUCUGAAGGAAUGAUUCAGUGCGGCUAAAGGAGAAUUUUUAAAACAAAGACUGUCAUUCAGAAAUUAUACAUUCAACCUAGCAAAUGAAAAGGCAUUAGGAAAAAAAGAUUAAAAAAAAAAAAAAGGAAAAAAAGAUAAAAAUAGGGAUAGGAGAUUAUAAAAGGAACCAAGAUCACAGAAGAAAGUGAUAGGUUUGGGGUAGAAAAUUAGAAUAAAAGAAGGAAGGAUGGAGAAAAAUUUAUCAUAAAUGAGCAAAAUGCAAAUGUAAUGGCAUCUAGAAUAUAAAUUGAGGUCAAGUUUCUUAAUUACGAUCAGUGCCAAGAUGUAGAUCUGUGACUCCAGGGACAGUUAGCUUUAGAGAUCCCUAUCCAGAGGCCAAUUCUACAUCUUUGAGGGUUAUUUUUGUCUUUUUCUUCUAUUCACUAGCCCUUCCCAGAACACAAUGACAUCUCUCAGAGGUAGAAGCUGCUUUCUACCUUUCCAAAAGGAGAACAUACCACAUUCCUGUCUAGUGGUAAUUUCUCGUUUUUCCUCAAGUUAUUUUAUUAUAGGACUCUGAAAAUGAGAGCUAUCAAAAUAGACAAGAUGUCGCAAAUGAAGAAUUUUUGGUUUUGAUUAAAAAAUUGGAACAGGAAAUGAUGAGAUGUUAAGAAAAUAUAUAGCUUUCCUCUCCCUUUCUUGGCAAGUCAAAUGCCCAGUUAUCAGAGAACACAAGAAAAUAUUGCAUACAUGAGCAGAACUGUUUCUAAAUAAAAUGUCCAAAACGUAAAUGCUGCAUCAGUUCCCAAUUAAGCAUUCUGUAAAUAAAGCCUUGCUCUUCAUCUCCUGUUUUCACUGGAAACUUCCAUCACCAGAGAUACUGAAUGGCGUGGAACAGUGGAGCCACCCAGUGGCUAAUAUGGUUAACCACAGCAAUGGCACAUUUCAUGGUGCAUUUCGUCCGUUUCCUGUUUUACACAGGAGUAUAUUUCCUCUUGAAAAUAUGACAGGAAUUACCGCUAAGAAGAAAUUUAAUGCUCUUAUCGGUAAUAAACCCAACUAGUAUCCAUAUGAGGAAGUGGGUUUGAUCAGUGGCCCUGCUCAGUUAAGGAUCCAGUCUUGCCCUGAACUGUGGUAUAGGUCGCAAAUGCAGUUUGGAUCCUGUGUUGCUGUGGCUGAGGCAUAGGCCAGCAGCUAUGGCUUGGAUCCAGGCCCUAGCCUGGGAACUUACAUAUGCCUCAGGUGCGGUCCUAAAAGGAAAAAAUGAAUAAAUAAAACCAUAGUUUAAAAAAGCUUCAAACUAAGGUUCUUUAAGUACCAGUUUUGAUAUGACAAAAGAUUCCUUAUAAAGAUUAAAAUUUAAGACAUGAAAUUAUCCUAAAACUUGAAAACAUCUGAUUCUAUCCCAAUUGUCAAUAAACAAAAUACAGUAAUAUUUCAAAACAUUAGGGAUUAUGAAAAGAAUUGGUUGUCCUUGUAAAAUGUAUAUUUUAUUUAAAAAUUAAAGUAAAAAAAAAUAAAUAGGAGUUCCUGUUGUGGCUCAGCAGAAAUGAAUCUGAUUAGGAACCAUGACAUUGUGGGUUCGAUCCCUGGCCUGUUCAGUGGGUUAAGGAUCUGGCGUUGAGGUGAGCUGUGGUAUAGGUCAUAGUUGUGGUGCAGAUCUGAUGUUGCUGUGGCUGUGGUGUAGGCCGGCAGCCGUAACUCCAAUUUGACCCCUAGCCUGGGAACUUCCAUAUGCCUCGGGGUGCAGCCCCAAAAAGAAAAAAAAAAGGAAGCAGCAAAAUAAAUAAAUAAAUAAAUAAUUAAAGUUAUUCCCUUGCGGUGCAGUGGAAUCUGCGUUAAGGAUCUGGUAUUGUCACUGCACAAGCUCGGGUCACUGCUGUGGUGUGGGUUCAAUCCCUGGAACUUCCACAUGCUGCAGGUGUAGCCAAAAAAAAAAAAAAUGUUAAAAAGAUUAAAACUGGGAAUAAUGCCAACAAGACUUUCUGCUGUCUCAAAGGAUAAGUGAGAUUCUAAAAAUUAAAAAUAACUUUUUCUUAUCAAAAUAGUAAAGUGUUCAUUUAGAAAAAUUAGAAAAUAUACGUAAGCAAAAAGAAAUAACACCCUCACAACAAGUCCAUUAUUAAUACUUUGGUUUGUUUAUUUCCAGAAAUUGUUCUUUACAUAUGGAUCAUGAAAUUUUUUUAAUGAAAAGGGAUUUUACUGAACAUAGUUUUUGCAAUUUGCUUUUU
rnacentral:lncRNA from 1 species